rnacentral:rRNA from 1 species
UACGUAGGUGGCAAGCGUUGUCCGGAAUUAUUGGGCGUAAGGCGCGCGCAGGCGGUCCUUUUAAGUCUGAUGUGAAAGCCCACGGCUCAACCGUGGAGGGUCAUUGGAAACUGGGGGACUUGAGUACAGAAGAGAAGAGUGGAAUUCCACGUGUAGCGGUGAAAUGCGUAGAGAUGUGGAGGAACACCAGUGGCGAAGGCGACUCUUUGGUCUGUAACUGACGCUGAGGCGCGAAAGCGUGGGGAGCAAACAGG